rnacentral:lncRNA from 1 species
AUGGAUUCUGGCAGAGAUGCAGGAUCUGGAGUCAAACCUGACUCCCCUCUCUGGGCCUCUUUGCGUGCCGCAGUAAGAAGCUCUCUUGCUUUCCAUUUUGGUGCUCCCAACUUUUGCCUGUGGCUUCCCAUCUUCCUCUCCAGGAGCCGUUUAGAGGUGAUUUAUGGCUGCUGGCAUGUCAGAACCAGUGGGAGCUCCUGGGAUGGAAACGGCUGCCUGAUUUGCCGUGCUGAUAAGCACAAGCCAAACACACCCAGCAAUGCCAGAUGGCGGCAGCGUUAUCUGUCACAGAGCAUCUCCGAGCAGACGGAUGCUAUACAAACAUUUCACAACUGUGGUAUUAUUGUUGAUGCAAUUACUAUUAAUACUAUUUAUAAGUGUUAAAUUAACAUAAAUAUAGCACUGUAAUAAUGAACACAAACCGUAUUUAGCAUGAUUGCUGAUGUAAUAAUUAAUGACCUCUAUCAGUAAUGCUAUCUGCUCUUGUAAGGAAUGAUUCAACAGCAGCUUGUCUUGAUUUCUCAAAGGAAGGAGGGUUUGGGAAAAGGUUAGAGUGAGUCAGAGCCCAGGGAAAGCUGUGGGAGUUGGAGAUGGUGCCCAGCUUCAGAGAAAAUUGUCAUGGGAAUCUGAAAACCGAGGACGCUAAUGAAUUGUGGAUUCUGGGAGAAGCAGCCAGCAGUUUGGGCUCGUGGCUCUUUUCAGGCAUGAUGGCUCUGUACCAGCUAUUUCUGAAAUGGGGUUUGCAGCUUUCUGGGCUUGGGUUUCAAGGUGGCCAGAGCAUCUGAACUAGAACAAUAUGAAGCGUAUGGUUGGUGCCUUAGUGCCAAAACAAAAGUAUUCAUUUGGGAAUCUAAGACCCGCUACUUGCCCGUGCUCUUAUUUCAACAUUGCCUCUGACCUGCUGUGUGACUUUCCAUAAAUCUGUGCCUCCAUCUGUCUUGUCUUUUCUUUUAUGGCAGUCUUUUUUGGGUCCGUGUCUGUAUGCAGCUCCUAGCACAAUAGGGCACUGAGCACGAUAGGACCUCUGGAUCCCGUAACGAUGCUGGUAAUGAGAUGACUGGGAGAUUCUGGCUGGAGCUCAGGGCCUGAUGGUGGUCCAGGGGCAGGGUUUGUCUGCCCUGCCUUGGAACACUGAUAUAUGUUCAAGUCUGAGCUUGUUACCACAGCCCAGUGCUUACCUUAAGGCUUGACUGUAGCAUGAGAUAAUAUACAUAUAUGU